rnacentral:rRNA from 1 species
UACAGAGGGUGCGAGCGUUGUUCGGAAUUAUUGGGCGUAAAGGGCGCGUAGGCGGUGCGGUAAGUCACCUGUGAAAUCUCCUGGCUCAACUGGGAGCUUGCAGGCGAAACUGCCGUGCUGGAGUGUGGGAGAGGUGCGUGGAAUUCCUGGUGUAGCGGUGAAAUGCGUAGAGAUCCGGAGGAACACCGACGGCGUAGGCAGCGCCCUGGCUGUGAAUAAAGCUGACACUGAGGCACGAAAGCUGGGGGAGCAAACAGG